GACGAACGCUGGCGGCGUGCUUAACACAUGCAAGUCGAACGGAAAGGCCCUGCUUUUGUGGGGUGCUCGAGUGGCGAACGGGUGAGUAACCCGUGAGUAACCUGCCCUUGACUUUGGGAUAACUUCAGGAAACUGGGGCUAAUACCGGCUAGGAGCUCCUGCUGCAUGGUGGGGGUUGGACAGUUUCGGCGGUUGGGGAUGGACUCGCGGCUUAUCAGCUUGUUGGUGGGGUAGUGGCUUACCAAGGGUUUGACGGGUAGCCGGCAUGGGAGGGUGACCGGCGACAUUGGGACUGAGAGACGGCCCAGACUCCUACGGGAGGCAGCAGGGGGGAAUAUUGCACAAUGGGCGGAAGCCUGAUGCAGCAACGCUGCGUGCGGGAUGACGGCCUUGGGGUUGUAAACCGCUGUCGCCUGUGACGAAGCGUGAGUGACGGUAAUGGGUAAAGAAGCACCGGCUAACUACGUG
rnacentral:rRNA from 1 species